UGCAGAAUAUUGGACAAAUGGGCGAAAGCCUGAUCCAGCAAUACCGCGUGGGUGAUGAAGGCCUUUUGGUUGUAAAGCCCUUUCGAAUAGGGAGUAAGAUAUGAAAGUACCUAUUUUAAGAAAGUCCCGGCUAACUUUGUGCCAGCAGCCGCGGUAAUACGAAGGGACCUAGCGUAGUUCGGAAUUACUGGGCUUAAAGAGUUCGUAGGUGGUUGAAAAAGUUGGUGGUGAAAUCCCAGAGCUUAACUCUGGAACUGCCAUCAAAACUUUUCAGCUAGAGUAUGAUAGAGGAAGGCAGAAUUUCUAGUGUAGAGGUGAAAUUCGUAGAUAUUCGGAGGAACACCAAUUGCGAAGGCAGCUCACUGGGCCGCUAUCGACGCUGAGGCACGAAAGCGUGGGGAGCGAACAGG
rnacentral:rRNA from 1 species